AACGAACGCUGGCGGCAUGCCUAACACAUGCAAGUCGAACGAGACCUUCGGGUCUAGUGGCGCACGGGUGCGUAACGCGUGGGAACCUGCCUUUAGGUUCGGAAUAACUCAGAGAAAUUUGAGCUAAUACCGGAUGAUGUCUUCGGACCAAGGAUUUAUCGCCUUUAGAUGGGCCCGCGUUGGAUUAGCUAGUUGGUGGGGUAAAGGCCUACCAAGGCGACGAUCCAUAGCUGGUCUGAGAGGAUGAUCAGCCACACUGGGACUGAGACACGGCCCAGACUCCUACGGGAGGCAGCAGUGGGGAAUAUUGGACAAUGGGCGAAAGCCUGAUCCAGCAAUGCCGCGUGAGUGAUGAAGGCCUUAGGGUUGUAAAGCUCUUUUACCCGAGAUGAUAAUGACAGUAUCGGGAGAAUAAGCUCCGGCUAACUCCGUG
rnacentral:rRNA from 1 species